rnacentral:rRNA from 1 species
GCAAGUCGAACGUUCGUUGAACCCAUAGCUUAUUCGUACUAAUCGGAGGUAUGUCCUGGCCAGAAGACUCACCAGGUCCUCACUGGGAUACAUGAAGUAUCCCAGUGAGUGCCUGGGACAAUGGGGACGGAAGCGGGAACAUGACCUGGAACACGUUGGGCGAACGGGUGCGUAACGCGUGGGCUUGAGCGCAUCUGCCGAACAGUGGCAAAAAAGCAAUAAAUCAGUUUUCACUGUUUGAGGAGCCUGCGUCGUAUUAGGUAGUUGGUCAGUGAAUAGCGGGCCAAGCCAUUGAUGCGUUGCUGGUCUUGUCGGAUGAGCAGCCACACUGGGAAUGAGAAGGACGGACUCCGGUUUGGGGAGGAAGCAGUGGGGAAUCUUGGACAAUGGUUCGACGACCGAUCCAGCAAUAUAGCGUGAGUGAACCGACGGGCGAGAUACGCUUGUAAAGCUUGUUCAAUCGACUGGGGCGAUAGCGAUCAUGACAGAACUGGGUUUGAAGCCCCGGCCAACUCCGUGCCAGCAGCCGCGGUAAGACGGGGGGGGCAAGUGUUCUUCGGAAUGACUGGGCGUCAAGGGCAAGUGGGCGGUGGUCGAGUGGUGGGAUUGUCUGUUGCCUGACUGGCUAGCCUAGGUUCAACACCAAUGCCACUGGAGUCACCCGAGUAGAGUGGAAUGUCUCGUUGGGGAGGGGUCAAAUCCGGAGAUCGAAGAUGGAACGCCGAUGAAGCGAAGGCAGCUCUAUUGGGCAGCACGGACGCUGAUUGGUUGCGACAGCAUGGGGAGCGAACGGGAUUAGAUACCCCAUUAGUCCUAGCAGUAAACGAUGAGUGUCAGCCCUCCUGGUGGGGCUCGAGCACGCUUGGAACACUCCGCCUGGGAAGUACGGUCAGACCGAAACUCAAAGGAAUUGACGGGGGCCAGAUCAAGCGGUGGAGCAUGUGGUUUAAUUCGAUACAACGCGCAUCACCUUACCCGCCCGAGUAGGAACGAUCGCCCCUUGGCAGAAACGGAAGCAAUGGGGCCUAUGGGGUACUGUCUGCUUCGGACUCGUGUUCACACCGGUGCUGCAUGGCUGUCGUCAGCGCGUCUCGUGAGAUAGCAAUGGGUCAUCCGAUAACGAGCUCAAUCCUACCUAGUACAGUGUUGCUGAGACAUGCCAGUCGUUCCAAUGUCUCUAUACGCUGGUACUGAUAUAUAUUGUUCAGCGUCUAAAACUGGUACUGAUAUAUAUUGUCAGGUCCAUCCACUCUUUCAUGGCAUAGGGGGUUCAUGGUCCUCGCCAAGUACACCUUGGAAGGUGUGCGCUCAGUACUCUACUCUAAUAGUCUCUUCAGCGUCAGUACUCUACUCUAAUAGUGUUGGUAUGAUACAGAAUCAAUUGAGUAGCGGAGGAGUUGGUGGUGGACUUUAUAUGCUAGAAUACCCGACCUUCAAGCAAUAGUGGAAUGACCUGGAAGAGAUGGCCUAUUCAUGGAGUUGUGGUUGAGUUGAUUUGGCACUUCGGUGGGGGGGGACUGAGUCAUGGGCUGGCGUGCUAAUCACUCUGGACUGCCACUCGAAAAGAUGGAGGUGGUGGGCUGAAGUCAAGUCCGCAUGGCCUGAUGGUCGGGGCGACACACGUGCUACUAGUAGUGGUCCAUGACAAUGGGAAGCAUGGCUGAACGGCUGAGCCAACCCGGUUCGAAGGCAAAGAGGAUACCGCAAUCAAUCGUUCGGAUUGUUCUCUGCAAUCGGGAACAUGAAGUUGGAAUCGCUAGUGAUCGCGGAUCAGCAUGCCGCGGUGAAUCUGUACCCUGGCCCUGUACACACCGCCCGUCACACCCCUUUGCUGGUCGUAGCCCGACGCAUCGAUUCGCACCUCCGUCCCGUUGCUCGAUUCAUGGUGCCAUUAGUUCCUUAUCCCUAUCAGUGACUCCCAAAGGAUAGCGGGUGUUCGGCCAAUGCGUGUACGUUGUGGUGCUCAUGGUCUGGUUCGAUUCAUGCUAUUGCCAUGACCUUUUGCCCGUGGGGUGAAGUCGUAACAAGGUAGCCGUAGGGGAACCUGUGGCUGGAUUG